GGCGCCGCACAGCGCGCAUAGCGCGCGCUGAGUUUAUAGUGUGAAACUGUGCGCCCACCCGCCGGAGGCACCCCGUCCUCACACAGCAGGAGCAGCAGCCGCAGCAGCCGCCUCCGCUUCUUCCUCCUUCCCGCCCAAGCGAACCAUCGGCAGCAGAGCGUGUUUUGCAGAAUGUGACCUCCAGCAGCAGCUUGAUUCCUCCUGAGAGGAACGCUGAGGAUUGAGAGCGCGGCCAGGAGAAGACAGAGGGCUCGGGCCGGCAGAAAGUGAGGGCGUGGUGUGAGUCACAUGACGAGGCAGAGGCCGGAUGAAAGAUGUUUCAAAGUGACGUUGUGCGAUUUCUCUGAAAAACUGUGGAUAAAUAUGACCUGAAGAAGGAACAAGUAACCAGCGUACGCAGGGACCCUGCUGGAGAGAUUGCAGAAUGCAGGCUGCUGAUACUAAUAAUAAACAUGAAUUUACUUUUA